rfam:Ascaris lumbricoides genome assembly, scaffold: ALTE_scaffold0004091
GCCUUCUUAGCUCAGUCGGUAGAGCAUCAGACUUUUAAUCUGAGGGUCGUGGGUUCGGGUCCCACAGAAGGCG